rnacentral:rRNA from 1 species
GACGAACGCUGGCGGCGUGCUUAACACAUGCAAGUCGAACGGAAAGGCCCUGCUUUUGUUGGGUGCUCGAGUGGCGCACGGGUGAGUAACACGUGAGUAACCUGCCCUUGACUUUGGGAUAUCUUCAGGAAACUGGGGCUAAUACCGCAUAUGAGCUACUGCUCCAUGGUGUGGGUUGGAAAGUUUCGGCUGUUGGGGAUGGACUCGCGGCUUAUCAGCUUGUUGGUGGGGUAGUGGCUUACCAAGGCUUCGACGGGUAGCCGGCCUGGGAGGUUGACCGGCCACAAUGGGACUGCGAGACGGCGCAGACUCCUACGGGAGGCAGCAGGCGGGAGUAUUACACAAUGGGCGGAAGCCUGAGGCAGCAACGCCGCGUGCGGGAUGACGGCCUUCGGGGUGUAAACCGCUUUCGACUGUGAUGAAGCGUGAGUGACGGUAAUGGGUAAAGAAGCACCGGCUAACUACGUG